UGCGGUUGCGGCUUCGGAACCCCACUGCUGCACGGCGUCCUCCGCCACAGAAAAUUCACGCACGACUCCGAGCAGCCGCCCUCCGCCACAAUUUCGCCAUGGGCGCGCCCUAGCCCCGCCCUUCUUAUCCCUGCUCUUCUCCGCCUAUGGCUGCUGCUACCGCUGACGCCUCCGCGCAGCCCGUCCCAUGGCUCUGUUCGCGCUCCGGCUCGGGCCGCUUCUCCCAGCCCCGCCCCACCGCCGUCGGAUCCUGCGGAACCGACGAUGCCAGGGCCGGAUCGUCGCCUCCAAUGCCGCCAACCCCGUGAGGGACGGUGGCGCGGCCGCGGUGGUGUGGUUUAAGCAUGACCUCCGCAUCGACGAUCACCCGGGCCUCGCCGCUGCCGUGUCGGAGCCGCGGCGCCCCGUCGUGCCGCUCUACGUCUUCGACCGACGCAUCCUCGCCGGCUAUUCAGAUAAAAUGCUGGAACUACUGCUAUUUGCUCUGAAAGAUCUUAAGAUGGCGUUGAAAUCUCAAGAUUCUGAUUUGCUCAUAGGCCUGGGAAAUGCUGAAGAUGUGGUGCUGAAACUUGUAAAUGAGGUACAAGCAGGUCUAAUUUUUACAGAAGAAGAAGUUGAAUAUAGAGUGCGUGAUGUUCUGGCCAAUGUUGAAUCAUCUUUAUCUAAUGGGUCAUUCUCAUGGGGAAGCCCUCCCAAGAUAGUGUCUUGGAGUGCCCCAUUGUAUGACUAUAAGAAUUUGGCAGCAGUAUCGACAUCACAUGAUGAAUUUCUAAAGAAAAAAUUACCAUUGGCCACACCUCUUGCUGCGGCAACUUUGCCUGCUCUAAAUUUGGAGUUAGACACAGGUUCUCUACCCACUCUGGAAGAAUUAAAAUGUUUCCUGAAAGACAUAGCACCAGAGGAUAAUUGGGCUCCUCUCAAGAGCAUGUCUGCGAUAUCUAUUCUUAAAAAGACAAUCAGUCAAAGGAAGAUCAAAAGUAAUGCUACAUUAAGCACCAGCAAUGGAGAAAACAUAGAGGAUAUCACCAUGGAUUCUGGUGCAUCAAGAAAGAGGAUUAUAAACUCAAUGUUUGCAUCAGAAAAUUCACUGGAAGUUAGGGGUGGAACAGAUAUUACUUUGGAUGCUUUGGCUGCUUACCUAAAAUACCUGGAAGGCACAGGGAAUGCUAGUUGGCAAGAGCUGCAUGAUAAAGUGCGCUUAGCUGAAACCAGAUAUGGUGCUUCAUUCUACGUCUUAUUUGGUCCUGCAAUUCAGCUUGGAGUCAUAUCUAGGAGGAAAGCUUACACGGAGACUAUUCAAUAUGAAAAAGAUCGCAAUGCAGGUUUUCUAUCACCAUUUGGGUACUCAACACCUACAGUGACGGCAGCAGUUGAUGCUAUAUGUUCGAUGGAGUGGUAUUGGCUCUUGGCAUCAAAAUCCCAAGUAUGCGUCGAGGGGAAAUAUCCUACAAGAAUUUGGAGAUGGAAGGGUUAUCUUGUACAGUACACCUUUCUUGGCAACGAAGGUCCAGCUGUUCUUCUUGUGCAUGGUUUUGGAGCUUUCCUGGAGCAUUUUCGUGACAAUAUAGACAAGAUUGCUGAUAUGGGCCACCGAGUUUGGGCAAUUACUCUUGUUGGCUUUGGGAAAUCAGAGAAACCAAAUGCCAACUAUUCAGAACUUUUCUGGUCAGAACUACUGAGAGACUUCAUUGUCGAUAUUGUGAGGGAGCCUGUUCAUCUUCUUGGCAACUCUAUUGGAGGUUAUAUCUGUGCAAUUGCUGCUGGUUUAUGGCCUUCUCUUGCAAAAUCUCUGGUUCUUUUAAACUCAGCUGGUUCAGUUAUUCCAAAUUACUCCUUCGUCCCACUGAGUGAAGAAAGACGAACAUCAUCAUGGCUUUCCAGGUUGCAGGCACAGCUUCUUUUGCUCUUCUUGAGGGCAAGAGCAGAAGGCAUUCUUAAAGAAUAUUAUCCUACAAGAACCGAACGGGUGGACAAGCCACUUCUAGACCAGAUUGUAAGAGCGUCAUAUGAUCCUGGUGCUGCAACAGUCCUUGAGAGUGUAUUCAACUUUAAUCUUUCAAUUCCUCUUAACUUUUUAUUUGAUUCUUUUGGAGGAAAGAUAUUGGUUAUCCAGGGUAUGAAAGAUCCCCUUACAAAAUCUGAGGCGUUUGUUACCAUGCUCCGAGAGCAUUGCAGCAAGGUUCAAAUCAGAGAGUUGAAUGCAGGGCAUGCUCCACAUGAUGAAGUUCCAGAUGAAGUAAAUGCCAUACUAUGUAAAUGGGUGGAACAGAUGGAAGUUAAGCCAGCCCUAGAGAAGACCAAGGCAAUAUAGCCAUAUAUAGGUAAAAAUGAGAAUUAUGGAGACCCUAUCCAUUGGUUGAUUGUUUAACAUUAUUUUCAGGAGCACGAGCACUUUGGUAACAUGUUUUCAGCGUCCUACAAAAAAAAUUAAAGCAUUGUGAUUUGUGAAUUGUUAGCCCUAUACAAAAUUGUGUAUGUAUACCACUUUUGACUUCUGAGCUCCAUACCAUUUUCUGGUAGCAGAUGUUGAGAUGAAACAUACAUGAUGCAUGAGAUCAAAAGGGUUAAAGGGAAAAAGAACUAGCAUCUGGGCAUGUUUCUGGGUAACUUUGCUUCAUACCAUUUUCUAGAAUUGCAGAUAACAUGUAUGGUUCUUACUUCUUAGGGCUGAUCCCUGUUUAUUGGGAUGAAAAGGUUGGGUCAGAUCCCUGCGAAUUCAGACAAAAGCCCUUAAUGUUGCUUUUGAUUAAAGGAUGAAUCUGACCGGACAUAAACCUUGGACCCUACGGCACACAUGGGCGGCGCCAGGGGUGAGGUGCUGAAACUUUUAUUGAAGGAUAUGAACUGGGUCUGUUAGUACUCAACUCUUUUGUUAUAAGUGCUGAAUAAGAUGGAAGCUGUAACUCUCUUGAGCUUGAUCUGAGUGCUGAGUUGAAACGUAGGAUCAAAGCAGACCCGGAUGCCUGGUUUCACAUAAGACUUGAGCAGAGCGUCUGCAUCAGCACAUGCCGUAUGCUUAAUAAUGCAAAAUAUAACAUGACGAAGAGGUGGUUGUUUACGCUGAUAUUUUUGAGCUAUCAGUUCUCACAAUCCAAGUUAGGUGGUGUUAAUCAGAAGACACUAGAUUAUACAUAUAUAGAGAAACCAAGUCCGGUGUCGACGUUUGUCGAUGCUCCCCUUUCUGCUUGCGUAUUGUAUUCUACCCCCCUUUUCCGUAAUGAACAACCCUCGUUUCUUA